rnacentral:rRNA from 2 species
AAACUGAAGAGUUUGAUCCUGGCUCAGAUUGAACGCUGGUGGCAUGCUUAACACAUGCAAGUCGAACGGUAACAGGUCUUCGGAUGCUGACGAGUGGCGGACGGGUGAGUAACGCGUAGGAAUCUGCCCAUCUGUGGGGGAUACCAGUUGGAAACGACUGUUAAUACCGCAUAAUAUCUGCGGAUUAAAGGUGGCCUUUGCGCUGCCGCAGAUGGAUGAGCCUGCGUUGGAUUAGCUAGUUGGUGGGGUAAGGGCCUACCAAGGCUACGAUCCAUAGCUGAUUUGAGAGGAUGAUCAGCCACAUUGGGACUGAGACACGGCCCAAACUCCUACGGGAGGCAGCAGUGGGGAAUAUUGGACAAUGGGGGAAACCCUGAUCCAGCAAUGCCAUGUGUGUGAAGAAGGCUCUAGGGUUGUAAAGCACUUUAGUUGGGGAGGAAAGCCUGUGAGUUAAUAGCUUGCAGGAAGGACGUUGCCCAAAGAAUAAGGACCGGCUAACUCCGUGCCAGCAGCCGCGGUAAUACGGGGGGUCCGAGCGUUAAUCGGAAUUACUGGGCGUAAAGGGUCUGUAGGUGGUUUGUUAAGUCAGAUGUGAAAGCCCAGGGCUCAACCUUGGAACUGCAUUUGAUACUGACAAACUAGAGUAUGGUAGAGGAAUAGGGAACUUCUGGUGUAGCGGUGAAAUGCGUAGAGAUCAGAAGGAACACCAAUGGCGAAGGCAACAUUCUGGACCAAUACUGACACUGAGGGACGAAAGCGUGGGGAUCAAACAGGAUUAGAUACCCUGGUAGUCCACGCUGUAAACGAUGAGUACUAGCUGUUGGAUUCGGUGUAAAGGAUCUAGUGGCGCAGCUAACGCGUUAAGUACUCCGCCUGGGGACUACGGCCGCAAGGCUAAAACUCAAAGGAAUUGACGGGGACCCGCACAAGCGGUGGAGCAUGUGGUUUAAUUCGAUGCAACGCGAAGAACCUUACCUGGUCUUGACAUCCUGCGAACUUUCUAGAGAUAGAUUGGUGCCUUCGGGAACGCAGUGACAGGUGCUGCACGGCUGUCGUCAGCUCGUGUUGUGAAAUGUUGGGUUAAGUCCCGCAACGAGCGCAACCCCUAUUGAUAGUUACCAUCAUUAAGUUGGGUACUCUAUUGAGACUGCCGCUGACAAGGCGGAGGAAGGUGGGGACGACGUCAAGUCAUCAUGGCCCUUACGACCAGGGCUACACACGUGCUACAAUGGGUAUUACAGAGGGCUGCGAAGGUGCGAGCUGGAGCGAAACUCAGAAAGGUACUCUUAGUCCGGAUUGCAGUCUGCAACUCGACUGCAUGAAGUCGGAAUCGCUAGUAAUCGCAGGUCAGAAUACUGCGGUGAAUACGUUCCCGGGUCUUGUACACACCGCCCGUCACACCAUGGGAGUGGGUUGCUCCAGAAGUAGAUAGCUUAACGAAUGGGCGUUUACCACGGAGUGAUUCAUAACUGGGGUGAAGUCGUAACAAGGUAGCCGUAGGGGAACCUGCGGCUGGAUCACCUCCUUA